GGCCCUCCAGGGCUGCGCCAGGAUCUGCCAGCUCUGGAUCAGCUCCACAAACAGGCAGGCCAGGAUGCCGAACUGGGAACCCGCCGGACCCACCUGGUGGAGAGAGAAUGGUAGCCGUUAGCGGAGAGAGAGAAGAGAACGGUAGCGGUUAGCGAAGAGAGAACGGUAGCAGAUAGCGGAGAGAGAACGGUAGAUGUUAGCGGAGAGAGAACGGUAGCGGAUAGCGGAGAGAGAACGGUAGAUGUUAGCGGAGAGAGAGAACGGCGGUUAGACAUUACUCCAUGACUGACAAAUGACUUGCUACUCCCUCACUUCCUGAGAAUGCCAACAGCCUCUCCACAAAAUAUCCUGGUCCUAGUUCCACAAUGGCAUGCAACAAGCUUCCCACUGGCAUUAGGACAUCUGAAGACUAACACAUCUCCUCCCGUAGGCUGAACCCCGCAGGCUGUAUUCAGACUGCAUGUGGUGAAUGAAAAGUAUCUCUUUAGUUAUCUGUCGCUCUAGUUGUCUCCAUCUCCUGUUUCUAUAUCGUAGCACUUGAAAGCGCUUUGCUUAUUUUGUGAAUUGUAUGCAGUUCAAUGGUUCUCACACUUUAUUGAGAUGAGAAUCAACAUCGUUGAUGGGUAUCAACAUUGUUGAUGCACUUACUGUCUUU